rnacentral:rRNA from 1 species
UCCCUCAGUAACGGCGAGUGAAGCGGGAUUAGCCCAGCACUGAAUCCCCCGGUCGGUCGGCCGGCGGGAACUGUAGUGUGCGGGACGCCACCAGCCGCGUGGGCUGGCACCGAAGUCCUCCUGAUCGAGGCCUCUCCCACGGUGGGUGUAAGGCCUUUGCAGGUGCCGGCGUGCGUGGCCGCGAGCGUCCCAGGAGUCGAGUUGUUUGGGAAUGCAGCUCAAAGCGGGUGGUAAACUCCAUCUAAGGCUAAAUACUGGCGCGAGUCCGAUAGCGGACAAGUACCGUGAGGGAAGGUUGAAAAGAACUUUGAAGNNNNNNNNNNNNNNNNNNNNNNCUGCCCAGAGGUAAACGGCCGGACCCGCAAAGUUGGCCGGUGGGAUUCAGCCCGGCUGGGCGGGUGGGUGCGGGUGGCGAUGAAUCACGACUGGCGCUCCCGUUUCUCCGCACGUCUCCGGGUGCACUUCCCGUCGGCCGAGCGCCACGACCGGCUCCCGGCCGGCCAUGAGCCCGGUGAGGAAGGUGGGUGGGAUGGGGUUCUCUUCGGAAGCCCUGUCUCGCUGUUACAGUCUUGCCGUGGAUCGGGCCCGGCUUCGGGGGGGCCGAGGGACUUACCGCGCUCUGGAACGGGCUGCCGGGUCGAGCGCGGGGGCUACGACUGGCGGGGACUGGGUGACCGUGCCCGCCGACCGCCCCUGCUUUUUGACCCGGCUCGCCUCGGAGUGCUGCGCGUCAG